AGAAUAAUCAAUAUAUGGGGAUGCAUUUCUCACAUUCAACACUUUAUUUAGUAAGAAAAGCAAAAUGAGGGAAAAUUCCCUCAUUUAGUUAAUAU
rnacentral:sRNA from 1 species